UACGGAGGGGGCUAGCGUUGUUCGGAAUUACUGGGCGUAAAGCGCGCGUAGGCGGACCUGCAAGUCGGGGGUGAAAGCCCGAGGCUCAACCUCGGAACUGCCUUCGAUACUGCGGGUCUCGAGUCCGGGAGAGGCGAGUGGAAUUCCUGGUGUAGCGGUGAAAUGCGCAGAUAUCAGGAGGAACACCAAUUGCGAAGGCAGCUCGCUGGGACGUAACUGACGCUGAGACGCGAAAGCGUGGGGAGCAAACAGG
rnacentral:rRNA from 1 species